ensembl:lncRNA
UCUGCCCUGCUCUUAAUUAUCUGUUCAUCCUACACAGGUGCCUGAUCUACAGGUCUGAGGCCUCUGCUUGAAAUGAAAGUUCCAGAAAUAUUUGAUGAACUCCAAACUAAGGGCAUUGUUACAGAGAAGACCAGGCUGAAACUUGUUAAAGUUUGCAUCUCUGACUUGGUGGAAAAGCAUGGAUUGUAAGUACAGUAUAUGAACGUGAAAUGUUUAUGUAUUAUUUUUGUAUCUUUUAAGAGUGGUUAUACAAAUAAGCCCACUUGUCAUGAUUGGACUAUUUUAAGAAUGUACAGCAUAGGUGCCUUGAAUGUAAUUGUGAAUGUUGUAAGAGUAUGAAUUGCAAUGGGGGGAUAAAGUAGACGUUCUCAUUUGCUUGUUAACAGUUGCUUUUUAAUCACACAUUUGACUGUAAGGGCUUCUCGUGUCAUUUUUCAAAAGAAGAGAAAAAACUGUUUAAAAAAAGGGUCAUUAGUUGUUGUUUGUUUGUUUCAAUAGUUAUCCCUCCACUACUGAAAAGGUGGUUCUUGCAAAGAACAUCAUUACCAUCUUCCCGUCCCUAAAAGUCCAAAUUGAUGGCAGAGGAGAAGGCUUUGUGAGUAUAAAGUUUCUUAGUUAAAAACAAAUCAAAAUUAAAACAUAUUGGAUCGCUUGCUCCUCUCACCAGCUCUACUUCCAGUCAACAAUCUUCUGUAACUGUAAUAAUUAUUUAAAGGAGCAAUAUUUAAUAUGUUUUCUGUAUUAAAUCAUAAAAUGACAAUAAUAUGUCAUCAGAUAUUAAGCAUGCUAAGUUGAAAUACUUUCUUUUCUGACAACAAUGCUAAAGCCAGUAUUUUCUCUUUUGAAUUUUCCAUUCCGGUCCGGCACUAUUUGAUAUGUUCUUUUUUCACUCUUCUCAGGAGCAUUUCUUUGAUCCAGCAUCACGCUCCGGGUUUUUGGAGAUGAGACUUCGCAAUAUCCGCCGGAAGUUAGAGGAAGGUCAGCGCCGUUACAGUAGACACAAGAGGAGCCGAGAUGUUAAUGAAAUGUCAAGUUCUGUGCAGGAUGAAGGGGACAGCAGUGACGUCAGAGAGUUCAUCAACCUGAUGAAAAGGCUGAGGCCUUCUGCAGAAAACAUUUCCUCAAUCAAAUCAGCGAUGCAGAAACCUUCACCUGGCGCAAAUCGUGGAUAUCCAAACAUUCACCCACUAUGGAGGAAAUCUUGCAAGAGUAUCCACGCUUCUUGGAUAUACCAACACUGGGUCGCGGGGGUCGCUGGAGCCAAUCCCAAUCUCUGUCCACUGCAACCACCCAGCUUGAUACAGAGUUUGGUAAAAUGCAUGAAGGAAGGGGGGACCUGUUCCUAAGGUGGUGGGAGGCCAGCAUCAUGCCAAAGCUGAAAGCUGUUGCUGUUGCUGCCAGCGAGAAGGGUGAUGUUGCAUCUCUUGUUGAAGGGAUGGAAGACCAGAGUGAUGGUAUGUACUAAAUGUUACAUUUAAUUUCUUCAAUUUUGCCACAAAAUAGUUUAAUAUGCUUGUUUACCUCUCUUCUUACCCAACCCCUGUUUCUUGUUUGCAGAUGAGAAUUGCUACAUGAUGUUGGUCGUCCUUACUCAUCUCCUUCCACCAAUUGCAGCAAGCCGCUGUAGCGUCAAGUCUGCGAUUAAGCGACUUGUUGAUUUUGUACCGGUAUGUUUGUUCGGAAUCUUGAGUUAAUGUUGAUAAUCCUCGACAGGGUGUCUGCAGGUGCUUAAAAUGUCUUGAAUUAAAUUUUAUGAAUAUUAGGCCUUAAAAGUCAUUGAAUGGUCCACAUUUCUGAUGUGACAAAUCCUUAAACUUAUUUAAGGAGAGUAAUACACACAUUACGUUGAUGCAAGGCUAUCAGAAAGCAGUGUCAACAAAAAAAAAGCUUAGGCCUGCACACAUACUCCAAGCCACAUACGUUUAAAACAUGUUGCUUGGAGUAUGUGUGCAGGCAAAUAUGUACCUUUUUACUUUAUACUUGCACUUACCGGUUGGCAAAAUGUAGAUAAGCCAAACUCACUCUAAUAACCAUAUUCCUACAUAAAAUCUACUUCUGUAUGGGACCACAUACUUACCUGUAU